rnacentral:rRNA from 1 species
UACGGAGGAUCCAAGCGUUAUCCGGAAUCAUUGGGUUUAAAGGGUCCGUAGGCGGUUUUGUAAGUCAGUGGUGAAAGCCCAUCGCCCAACGGUGGAACGGCCAUUGAUACUGCAAGACUUGAAUUAUUGGGAAGUAACUAGAAUAUGUAGUGUAGCGGUGAAAUGCUUAGAGAUUACAUGGAAUACCAAUUGCGAAGGCAGGUUACUACCAAUAUAUUGACGCUGAUGGACGAAAGCGUGGGGAGCGAACAGG